rnacentral:rRNA from 1 species
UUGCCGAUGACCUGAAUAUCCGUUAUGGAAAAUUCAUCAUUAGACUUGUAAUAUUUAAACAAUAUUAUAAUAAUAGUGUGCAUUUUUUCCAUAUAAGGACAUUGUAAUCUAUUAGUUAAAAAUAAUUUAUCAAAAAAUUUUAGAUAAAAGUUUAUUUAAAUUAAAAUGCUUGCAUUUUAACAUAAAAUAAAUGUCUUUAAUUUGAUAAAGUGCUGAUAGAUUUAUAUGAAUACAGUGCGUUAAUUUUUCGGAAUUAUAUAAUGGCAUGAUUAUCAUUGAUUUUUGUGUUUAUUAUAUGCACU